rnacentral:rRNA from 1 species
CAGUAGCCGCGGGAAUACGGAGGGAGCUAGCGUUGUUCGGAAUUACUGGGCGUAAAGCGCGCGUAGGCGGUUACUCAAGUCAGAGGUGAAAGCCCGGGGCUCAACCCCGGAACUGCCUUUGAAACUAGGUGACUAGAAUCUUGGAGAGGUCAGUGGAAUUCCGAGUGUAGAGGUGAAAUUCGUAGAUAUUCGGAAGAACACCAGUGGCGAAGGCGACUGACUGGACAAGUAUUGACGCUGAGGUGCGAAAGCGUUGGGAGCAAACAGGAUUAGAUACCCCUGUAGUCCCUGUCUCUUAUAC